rnacentral:misc_RNA from 1 species
UAUACCUUGGUAAAUGGUGAAAGAUGGUGGGAGCUUUAGUUAUACGCAGAAUUCGUUGGUGAAAUUUCAUGAAAUAUGGUCACUGGGGCCUGUUUUUCUUUGACAGAAAGGUGAUUGGAAAAACGAGAAUUGUGUAGCAAGGAAGAUUUAGAAGCUCGUGUGUGCAGUAGGCACAUGAUGUUCUUUAAUUGUGACAUCUCGGGACACUAUGUUCCCACCAGUUAUUGGCUUCCAAAGAGCG